UACGUAGGGUGCGAGCGUUUGUCCGGAAUUACUGGGCGUAAAGAGCUCGUAGGUGGUUUGUCGCGUUGUUCGUGAAAACUCACAACUCAAUUGUGGGCGUGCGGGCGAUACGGGCAGACUGGAGUACUGCAGGGGAGACUGGAAUUCCUGGUGUAGCGGUGGAAUGCGCAGAUAUCAGGAGGAACACCGGUGGCGAAGGCGGGUCGCUGGGACGGUACUGACGCUGAGGCGCGAAAGCGUGGGGAGCAAACAGG
rnacentral:rRNA from 1 species